rnacentral:rRNA from 1 species
UGUUGCGGUUAAAGAGCUCGUAGUUGGAUUUCUGUCGAAGACGGUCGGUCCGCUCUAUGAGCGUGUAUCUGAUUCGGCUUUGGCAUCCUCGUGGGGAACGUAACUGUGCUUGAUUGCAUGGUGCGGAAUUCACGACUUUUACUUUGAGGAAAUUAGAGUGUUCACGGCAGGCAAGCGCCUUGAAUACAUUAGCAUGGAAUAAUAAUAUAGGACUUUGGUUCUAUUUUGUUGGUUUCUAGGACUAAAGUAAUGAUUAAUAGGGAUAAUUGGGGGCAUUUGUAUUAACGCGUCAGAGGUGGAAUUCUUGGAUUGCGUUACGACAAACUACUGCGAAAGCAUUUGCCAAGGAUGUUUUCAUUGAUCAAGAACGAAAGUAUGGGGAUCGAAGAUGAUUAGAUACCGUCGUAGUCUAUACCAUAAACUAUGCCGACUAGAGAUUGGAGGUCGUUCUUUUUAUGACUCCUUCAGCACCUUAUGAGAAAUCAAAGUCUUUGGGUUCCGGGGGGAGUAUGGUCGCAAGGCUGAAACUUAAAGG